rnacentral:misc_RNA from 1 species
UCUUUUCUUUUGAUAAGAGAGUUUUUAAAACCAGUGUUAUUUUUGUAAGUUUAAGAGAAGUUUGUGUAUUGAAUUUUUUAUUUUUAAUAUUAAAGAGCUUUGUUAAACCUAGACUUAAGUUUAGGUCAUUUUGGGGGUUUAGCUCAGUUGGCUAGAGCAUCGGCUUUGCAAGCCGAGGGUCAAGGGUUCGAGUCCCUUAACCUCCAUUGGGCUUAUGUCCUAAAUUGUAAUUAAGUAUGUUUUUAAGCAGCUUUGUUAAAGUAAUUGUUAGAAUGUGAAACAGAGGAAGUUAAAAUUUCUGGGUUAAGUUGAGAUCUGUUGAUAUUAAGAAGAAUCUCUAGAAGCAAAAGCAAGCUUUCGAUAAAACCCGAAGUUGUUUCGCUAAAGUGCAAGGAUUAAACAGGAUUGUAUUUUCCAGCAGCCUAUUUUAUAAACGAUCUGCAUUUAGUAAAUAGUUUUUAGUUAAGAAAUAAUGUAGAUUGCUAAGUGUGAUGUC